rnacentral:rRNA from 1 species
GACGAACGCUGGCGGCGUGCUUAACACAUGCAAGUCGAACGGAAAGGCCCUGCUUUUGUGGGGUGCUCGAGUGGAGAACGGGUGAGUAACACGUGAGUAACCUGCCCUUGACUUUGGGAUAACUUCAGGAAACUGGGGCUAAUACCGGAUAGGAGCUCCUGCUGCAUGGUGGGGGUUGGAAAGUCUCGGCGGUUGGGGAUGGACUCGCGGCUUAUCAGCUUGUUGGUGGGGUAGUGGCUUACCAAGGCUUUGACGGGUAGCCGGCCUGAGAGGGUGACCGGCCACAUUGGGACUGAGAUACGGCCCAGACUCCUACAGGAGGCAGCAGUGGGGAAUAUUGCACAAUGGGCGGAAGCCUGAUGCAGCAACGCCGCGUGCGGGAUGACGGCCUUCGGGUUGUAAACCGCUUUCGCCUGUGACGAAGCGUGAGUGACGGUAAUGGGUAAAGAAGCACCGGCUAACUACGUG